GAACUUUUUCGGGGGGGGCGCGUAUCGGUAUGUUUCAAACCACCUUAAGCUGCGUCGGGACAAUGCCCGGUGUGGUGAGCGUUAAGGCAAAAGGCACGACUUGAUCGUGUCAGGU
rfam:Elusimicrobia bacterium RBG_16_66_12 RBG_16_scaffold_21909, whole genome shotgun sequence.